rnacentral:tRNA from 1 species
GUCAGUGUGGUCUAGUGGUUUAAGUGUUGGACUGUGACUCUGGAGACCAGGGUUUUAAUCCCUGUUCUGUCA